rnacentral:tRNA from 1 species
GGUAUUAUACUUUAUACAAGAAGACAUGAUUUGCAUUCAUAUAGAAAGAUAAUAUCUUUAAUACCA